rnacentral:rRNA from 1 species
UUCUGUAGCAAGGUUAACCGUAUAGGGGAGCCGGAGGGAAACCGAGUCUUAACCGGGCGUUAAGUUGCAGGGUAUAGACCCGAAACCCGGUGAUCUAGCCAUGGGCAGGUUGAAGGUUGGGUAACACUAACUGGAGGACCGAACCGACUAAUGUUGAAAAAUUAGCGGAUGACCUGUGGCUGGGGGUGAAAGGCCAAUCAAACCGGGAGAUAGCUGGUUCUCCCCGAAAGCUAUUUAGGUAGCGCCUCGUGAACUCAUCUUCGGGGGUAGAGCACUGUUUCGGCUAGGGGGUCAUCCCGACUUACCAACCCGAUGCAAACUGCGAAUACCGAAGAAUGUUAUCACGGGAGACACACGGCGGGUGCUAACGUCCGUCGUGAAGAGGGAAACAACCCAGACCGCCAGCUAAGGUCCCAAAGUCACAGUUAAGUGGGAAACGAUGUGGGAAGGCCCAGACAGCCAGGAUGUUGGCUUAGAAGCAGCCAUCAUUUAAAGAAAGCGUAAUAGCUCACUGGUCGAGUCGGCCUGCGCGGAAGAUGUAACGGGGCUAAACCAUGCACCGAAGCUGCGGCAGCGACGCUGAUGCGUUGUUGGGUAGGGGAGCGUUCUGUAAGCCUGUGAAGGUGGCCUGUGAGGGUUGCUGGAGGUAUCAGAAGUGCGAAUGCUGACAUAAGUAACGAUAAAGCGGGUGAAAAGCCCGCUCGCCGGAAGACCAAGGGUUCCUGUCCAACGUUAAUCGGGGCAGGGUGAGUCGACCCCUAAGGCGAGGCCGAAAGGCGUAGUCGAUGGGAAACGGGUUAAUAUUCCCGUACUUGGUGUUACUGCGAAGGGGGGACGGAGAAGGCUAUGUUGGCCGGGCGACGGUUGUCCCGGUUUAAGCGUGUAGGCUGGUUUUCCAGGCAAAUCCGGAAAAUCAAGGCUGAGGCGUGAUGACGAGGC